GCCUGGGUGGCUCAGUCGGUUGAGCGUCCGACUUCAGCUCAGGUCAUAAUCUCGUGGUUUGUGAGUUCGAGCCCCGCAUCAGGCU
rnacentral:tRNA from 1 species